UGUUAUUGCUAGCAAAUACCACUAUUUUUAGUUGUAAAGGCAGAAGGGAGCUUGACUGCAAGACCCACCCAUCGAGCAGGGAUGAAAGUCAACCUUAGU
rnacentral:rRNA from 1 species